rnacentral:rRNA from 1 species
AUGUUCCUGGAGCAGGUCCUCGGGCACCUACGGGGCGAGAGGCGCUGGGGGGAUGGUGUGAUGCGCGAUCUGGACAUCUCCCUGCGUGACCAGGGCCCGGUGGGCUCGCUGGAGGAUACGCUGUUCCAAAGUUGCAGCUUGUUCGCGUCCGUGGCCCGCGUCGUGAGCGGCGCGGCAUCAGGCGUCGGUGGAGGAUUGCUCGCUCUCUGGUUUGCGACGGGACAAGUUCAGAAAUUUCUUGGGGCUCCACGUCCUCCUGGAAUACUGAUGUUGGGCUACGGUUGCGGUUGUUUUUCCUUGUACAUGAAGAUGCUGUAUUAUGAUCUCCAGAAGGAUUUUGCUGCAAUGCUUUUGGAGCAUGGAGAAGAACACACGAAGAGGGAGCUAGCUAAAAUAAUACUCAAUAACCAUAGCACUGACAAGUCACUGGUUGAAGUUCUAAAGAGGCACUAUGUAGCUGAUCAUCUGUUGGGUGAUGAGCAUCAAGAGAAGCAACUUUUCAGGUGGCGCCAACGCCAUUCGUAUGUGGACAACGCUUUUAUGGAAAGGUUGAAGGAGGAACUUAUAGAAGUGGUGAAGAAGAAAGAUAUAGAAAGGUUGGAGAAGUCUGAAGCAAACAAUGCCGAUGCUGAGGUCGAAUCAAGUGCAAACGUUGGAUUAUUUGAGGAGGAUCCACUGGCUUGUGUGCUUGGCACUCCAGACAGCAACAGGAAGAUGGACAUGUUACUGGCAGCGUCGUCUCCAACAUCCUGA